GGGGCUUCCUGUGCGCUGGGCCGCGGGCGUGAGGAGCGGCGCGUCGACGAAGGAAAUCGAGGGUCUGAGAGGACGCUUGUGGGAUUCUCACAGUACGGAGUGGUGGAGCUCUGUUCCAAUCCAGGAAUUGAGAACUGCUGGAGUUGGAGUCGAAUGCUUCAAGACCAUAUAUGAUACAGGCCAUUCUAUCAGUAAUUCAUCCCUUACGUGCCAUAGAUAGGAAACUUCUCUCAAGAUGGGCAAGCCUAUCAGCUCCUAGUCCCUUUCAAAAGUCUCAUUCUGGACUUCCUGGUGGAGCAGUGGACUGGAGUCCACCUGCCAAUGAAGGGGACACAGGCUGGGUUCAACCCUGGCCUGGAAGAUUGCACAUGCCACAGAGCACCAAAGCCCAUCACCACAAUUACCGUGAGCGGCAGCUACUGAAGCCCAUGUGCCCGAGAGCGUGUGCUCCACAAGAAAAGCCACCCGACUAA